rnacentral:tRNA from 1 species
GGAUCUAUGGUGUAUCGGUUAGCAUUUCGGGCUAAUAACCUGACGAGCCUGGUUCAAUUCCAGGUAGAUCCA